rnacentral:rRNA from 1 species
GACGAACGCUGGCGGCGUGCUUAACACAUGCAAGUCGAGCGGUAAGGCCCUUUCGGGGGUACGACGAGCGGCGAACGGGUGAGUAACACGUGGGUGACCUGCCCUCCAGCUCUGGGAUAAGCCUGGGAAACGUGGGUCGUAAUACCGGAUAUGACUCCAUGACGCAUGUUGGUGGGGUGGAAAGCCUUGUGCGGCUGAGGAUGGGCCCGCGGCCUAUCAGCUUGUUGGUGGGGUGAGGCCUACCAAGGCGACGACGGGUAGCCGGCCUGAGAGGGCGACCGGCCACACUGGGACUGAGACACGGCCCAGACUCCUACGGGAGGCAGCAGUGGGGAAGUCUUGCGCAAUGGGCGAAAAGCCUGACGCAGCGACGCCGCGUGAGGGAUGACGGCCUCGGUUGUAGU